GGGCAUGGCGGCAGCCUACACAUGCAGUCGAGCGGCAGCGCGAAGUACCUUGUUGCUUUGCACGGCGAGCGGGGGAAGGGUGAUUAAUGUCUGGGACACUGCCUGAUGGAGGGGGAUAACUACUGGAAACUGUAACUAAUACCGCACAACGUCGCAAGACCAGAGAGGGGGACCUUCUGGCCUCUUGCCAUCACAUGUGCCCAAAUGGGAUUAUCUAGUAGGUGGGGUAACGGCUCGCCUAGGCCACUAUCCCUAUCUGGUCUGAGAGGAUGACCACCCACACUGAAACUGAGACACGACCCAUACUCCUACGGGAGGCGGCAAUGGGGAAUAUUGGACAGUGGGCGCGAUCCUGAUGCCCCCAUGGCGCGUGUAUGAACAACGCCUUCUGGUUGUAUU
rnacentral:rRNA from 1 species